UACGUAGGGUCCGAGCGUUGUCCGGAAUUACUGGGCGUAAAGAGCUCGUAGGUGGUUUGUCGCGUUGUUCGUGAAAACUCACAGCUUAACUGUGGGCGUGCGGGCGAUACGGGCAGACUAGAGUACUGCAGGGGAGACUGGAAUUCCUGGUGUAGCGGUGGAAUGCGCAGAUAUCAGGAGGAACACCGGUGGCGAAGGCGGGUCUCUGGGCAGUAACUGACGCUGAGAAGCGAAAGCGUGGGGAGCGAACAGG
rnacentral:rRNA from 1 species